rnacentral:lncRNA from 12 species
CCAGGAAGGGAGGCGAGGGGCACAGUUCAUAUUACCCCCGAAGCAGACUCUGCAUUCUGGUCACGUGGCUCUGCUGCAGUGUCAUUUGGAAAGUUGGCUGCUGUUUUCCCAUUUGGGAUUAUCCACAAUCACAGCAGCCAGCACUGAAUGUGUGUUAUAUGCCAGGUACUGGGACUAUCUUGGCGGGCGGGCAGGCGGCGGGGGGGUAAUAUCAGCCCCAUUUUACAGAUGAAGAAUCAGAGGCACAGCAAGGUUAAAUACCAUUCCCAAGGUCACACAGCUAGAACAUCCAUCUGAUCCUAAAGCUGUGCUCUGAAACAUUGCCCGCUGCUGCCUCCAGCAGUUUCUAAAUGGGAGUGCUAGAGGAAUGCCAUGAUACCUACCCAGGAAAAUGAAGGCAAAGCAGAGCAGAGGGGUGCACAAAACUGGUUUACAUAUCGUUCAGAGUCCUGUUUAACCUACUCUUUUCUCUACCAAGGCUACCAAAAAAAGACUUCAUAACACAGCUAGAAGAACUCUCUGACAGAAGCAGCUGGUGACAGUGGCCAGUUGCUAGGUGUUGCUAGGGCAACUUAGCUGGGAGUCUGGUAGUGAAGUAAUUAAGCAGGGCAUAUAAAUUACCUCAGCUAGUUUUCCCCAGAAUUGGCAGCUCCCUGCAUGAAAGGAAGUGACGAGGUUCCUUCCUUCCUCCUAAAGACAAAAGAGAUAGGAAACAUUUUGAAGAUGCAUAAAGACAUGUCACGUAUGGGUGUGGAGCUCCUCUUCAUGUCCCAUGAAGCUGGGGCUGCUCACGAUUCCCCGUUACCACCAGAGGUCUACACUCUGGAAGAGAAGCGGGAUACAGACUGGCUGUCCAGGUAAGCCCAGCUAUCUGAGCUGCAGCUCAUUAGACUUUGGUUAAUUUGUUAUUAAUUCCUCAGGAGCACCGAACAAUCCAAACAAGAUGCAGAAAUCAAUGGCCAAGGAAAAGACAAAGCAACCUUCUAAGCAGAAUGUGAGUGAGGAGAGUGGCUUUAAAAAGGCCUCGACAAACUAUUUGAGGUGCAGCCUGUAAAGUGGAGAAUAAAUGCCUUUUUUACAUUGGUUCA